UUCUUCGGAUUGAAGUUUUUGUGACUGAGUGGCGGACGGGUGAGUAACGCGUGGGUAACCUGCCUCAUACAGGGGGAUAACAGUUAGAAAUGACUGCUAAUACCGCAUAAGCGCACGGUGCUGCAUGGCACAGUGUGAAAAACUCCGGUGGUAUGAGAUGGACCCGCGUCUGAUUAGCUAGUUGGUGGGGUAACGGCCUACCAAGGCGACGAUCAGUAGCCGGCCUGAGAGGGUGAACGGCCACAUUGGGACUGAGACACGGCCCAAACUCCUACGGGAGGCAGCAGUGGGGAAUAUUGCACAAUGGGGGAAACCCUGAUGCAGCGACGCCGCGUGAGCGAAGAAGUAUUUCGGUAUGUAAAGCUCUAUCAGCAGGGAAGAAAAUGACGGUACCUGACUAAGAAGCACCGGCUAAAUACGUGCCAGCAGCCGCGGUAAUACGUAUGGUGCAAGCGUUAUCCGGAUUUACUGGGUGUAAAGGGAGCGUAGACGGUUGUGUAAGUCUGAUGUGAAAGCCCGGGGCUCAACCCCGGGACCGCAUUGGAAACUAUGUAACUAGAGUGUCGGAGAGGUAAGCGGAAUUCCUAGUGUAGCGGUGAAAUGCGUAGAUAUUAGGAGGAACACCAGUGGCGAAGGCGGCUUACUGGACGAU
rnacentral:rRNA from 1 species